CAUACAAACAAUUAAUGCAAAGGAUUAAGGCUAAGCAUAUGCACAAAUAUUUACUGAUGAAUGUCCACAAUGAACUACUGAGUGUGGUGAAAAAGGAAGGCAACACAAGUACAUAUACAGAUUUAUUUGGAG